AUAGACGAAGCCUCUAUCGCCCGUCUAGACUACUUGCAAGGCGACUAGAGGUAUCAAUGUAUCAUUGCAUAACUUUCCCCUAACAUACCAACAAUUUUCUUGGUAAACAUAUCAAUAGGCAGCCCACCAAUCAUAUAGCUUCUCCACAUGGACACUAGGAGUGAUCUUCUAUGGGUACAGGUCCAUCCUUGCAACACUUUGCCUCCAAUUUUUGUCCUUUUUAGUUUACGCCUUACCUCCAACUCUUCUCUUUUUUAGGACUCAGUUUACGCCUUGCCACUA